rnacentral:rRNA from 1 species
CCCUUAGAUGUUCUGGGCUGCACGCGCGCUACACUGAUGCGCUCAACGAGUUUAUGACCUUGCCCGGAAGGGUUGGGUAAUCUUCUUAAAACGCAUCGUGAUGGGGAUAGAUUAUUGCAAUUAUUAAUCUUCAACGAGGAAUUCCUAGUAAGCGCGAGUCAUCAGCUCGUGCUGAUUACGUCCCUGUCCUUUGUACACACCGCCAGUCGCUCCUACCGAUUGAGUGAUCCGGUGAAUAAUUCGGACUGCAGCAGUGUUCGGUCACGAACGUUGCAGCGGAAAGUUUAGUGAACCUUAUCACUUAGAGGAAGGAGAAGUCGUAACA